CCUACGGGCGGCAGCAGUGGGGAAUAUUGGACAAUGGGCGAAAGCCUGAUCCAGCCAUGCCGCGUGUGUGAAGAAGGCCUUCGGGUUGUAAAGCACUUUCAGUGGGGAAGAAAGCCUUGGGGCUAAUACCCUCGAGGAAGGACAUCACCCACAGAAGAAGCACCGGCUAACUCCGUGCCAGCAGCCGCGGUAAUACGGAGGGUGCGAGCGUUAAUCGGAAUUACUGGGCGUAAAGCGCGCGUAGGCGGUCUGAUAAGCCGGUUGUGAAAGCCCCGGGCUCAACCUGGGAACGGCAUCCGGAACUGUCAGGCUAGAGUGCAGGAGAGGAAGGUAGAAUUCCCGGUGUAGCGGUGAAAUGCGUAGAGAUCGGGAGGAAUACCAGUGGCGAAGGCGGCCUUCUGGACUGACACUGACGCUGAGGUGCGAAAGCGUGGGUAGCAAACAGGAUUAGAUACCCGAGUAGG
rnacentral:rRNA from 1 species